rnacentral:rRNA from 1 species
AGUGAACGCUGGCGGUAGGCCUAACACAUGCAAGUCGAACGGCAGCACAGUAAGAGCUUGCUCUUACGGGUGGCGAGUGGCGGACGGGUGAGGAAUACAUCGGAAUCUACUUUUUCGUGGGGGAUAACGUAGGGAAACUUACGCUAAUACCGCAUACGACCUACGGGUGAAAGCAGGGGAUCUUCGGACCUUGCGCGAUUGAAUGAGCCGAUGUCGGAUUCGCUAGUUGGCGGGGUAAAGGCCCACCAAGGCGACGAUCCGUAGCUGGUCUGAGAGGAUGAUCAGCCACACUGGAAGUGAGACACGGUCCAGACUCCUACGGGAGGCAGCAGUGGGGAAUAUUGGACGAUGGGCGCAAGCCUGAUCCAGCCAUACCGCGUGGGUGAAGAAGGCCUUCGGGUUGUAAAGCCCUUUUGUUGGGAAAGAAAAGCAGCAGGUUAAUACCCCGCUGUUCCGACGGUACCCAAAGAAUAAGCACCGGCUAACUUCGUG